rnacentral:lncRNA from 1 species
CUGGACUAAAAGCUAUUCCUGCCAUGUUAGCUGCUCCUUUGGACUGGUCUGCAAUCCAUUACCUCCAGCUGGUUGGGUGGCGCCUGCCCAGAGACACACUGAGAGGCAACAGACGUGAGCCCAUUCACUGUGAACCUACUCUUGCCUUCAUAAACGUUGCUGCUUUUUCCCUACCAUCACCGGCUGCGUCCACGUCUUUGUUCAUCACACACCAGAACCUAGGAAGCUGCCCGGGACCCCAUCACCCAGAAAGCGGUACAAACAACAGCACAAGGCC